UACGUAGGGUGCGAGCGUUACUCGGAAUUACUGGGCGUAAAGUGUGCGCAGGCGGCCGAGCAAGUCGAGUGUGAAAGCCCCGGGCUUAACUUGGGAACUGCGCUCGAAACUACUUGGCUAGAGUGUGGCAGAGGGAGGUGGAAUUCCACGUGUAGCGGUGAAAUGCGUAGAGAUGUGGAGGAACACCGAUGGCGAAGGCAGCCGCCUGGGCCAACACUGACGCUCAUGCACGAAAGCGUGGGGAGCAAACAGG
rnacentral:rRNA from 1 species